rnacentral:lncRNA from 9 species
AUUUUAAAUUGUAGAAUUCUGGGGCCCUUCGUACUGUCACAGUGUUGGACACUCAGCACCUCUGUCUAAUUCCAGAACAGUUCCAUCACCCCAGAGAGAAACCCCGGAGGCAUGAGCAGCCUCUCCUCAUCCCCCACCCCAGCCCCAGCCCCUGCAAACUCGGAUCUGCUUUCUGUCUCCACGGAGCUGCCUGUUCUGAACAUUUCACAUAAAUGGAAUCGUACAGCGUGUGACCUUCUGUGUCUGGCUCCUUUCACUCAGCGUGAUACAACCCCUUCGUCUCUCAGGCGGGCGGGAGGGCCCCGUCCCAGCUCACACAGCGGGGAAGGACAGGCUUCCCACGAGUCAGAGGACGCCGAGCCAGGAUGGGCAGCCCCCAGGUGGAAAGGAAGGUGGCGACUGAGUCCAUCACCUGUCAUCUAGAACCUGAGAGCGGGAUGCACGCUGACAAAGCCCACGCCGCGGCUGAAUUCAAACGUCUGGUUCAAGGAGUACGGAUUGGGCGCCUGCUGGAUGCACAGCCCCUUUCCCAGACCAUCCAGCCUGGCUGGUCUGGAGCACAGUCUUUGAUGGAAGCGAGGUUUGAGUCUGGAGGCACGUUUCCCGCUGAAGGAAGCUGCCUCCUUUGGGUGUCUCCCUCCUGCCGCCGGUGCAGCCCAGGGACAGCCAGGCACCUGCGUGGAAAGGUCCAAGAGGGGACAGAGGAAGGCCAGGCUGGGCUCAUGUGUGUCCUUAAGCCCCCUCGUCUCCCGGGGUGACCCUGUGAGCCAUCCUGAGUUAGCUGCUUCGCGCCACUGAAACACCCACCUUCCUCUGGAGAGAUGAUUCCACGCCACUCAAGGACCCCACCUAUGUGACAAUCACUGAUUAAAAUGCCUCUGCCUGCUCCAUGCCUGCGUGCAGGGUGAAUUGUACAGACGGCCAUAAACCCGCCGCAGUGACUCCGCUGCCUCCCGGGGCUGCUUUAUCUCAGCCACACAGAGAGAGAGGGGAGCCCUGCCUUUCUGUUUGGAG